AGGACGAACGCUGGCGGCGUGCCUAAGCUUAUGCAAGUCGAACGCGAACGGCUCCUUCGGGAGCCUAGUAGAGUGGCAAACGGGUGAGUAACGCGUGGGUAACGUACCCUGAUCCUGGGAAUAACCCUCGGAAACGAGGGCUAAUACCGAAUGUGGCGAACGACCGGUUGGUCGCUCGCUAAAGGUGGCCUCUUCUAUGCUGCCGGGUUGGGAUCGGCCCGCGUCCCAUUAGCUAGUUGGUGAGGUAACGGCUCACCAAGGCCACGAUGGGUAGCCGGCCUGAGAGGGUGUACGGCCACACUGGCACUGAGACAAGGGCCAGUCCCCUAUGGGAGGCGCAGGCGGGAAUAGUUCACGAUGGGCGAAAGCCUGAUGACGCGACGCCGCGUGAGCGAAGAAGACCUUCGGGUUGUAAAGCUCUGUCAGGAGGGAAGAAGGCUCUACGGGUUAAUAGCCCGUGGAAUUGACGGUACCUCCAGAGGAAGCCCCGGCUAAAUACGUGCCAGCAGCCGCGGUAAUACGUAUGGGGCAAGCGUUGUCCGGAUUUACUGGGCGUAAAGGGCGCGCAGGCGGUUUGUUAAGUCGAAGGUGANAUCCUCGGGCUCAACUCGAGAAUUGCCUUCGAUACUGGCAAACUAGAGUGGCGGAGAGGAAAGCGGAACUCUUGGUGUAACGGUGGAAUGUGUAGAUCUCAAGAGGAACACCGGUGGCGAAGGCGGCUUUCUGGACGCACACUGACGCUCAGGCGCGAAAGCGUGGGUAGCAAACCAGGAUUAGAUACCCUGGUAGUCCACGCCAUAAACCGAUGGGUACUAGGUGU
rnacentral:rRNA from 1 species